AACGAACGCUGGCGGCAUGCCUAACACAUGCAAGUCGAACGAGACCUUCGGGUCUAGUGGCGCACGGGUGCGUAACGCGUGGGAAUCUGCCCUUCGGUUGGGAAUAACUGAGAGAAAUUUCAGCUAAUACCUUAUAAUGUCUUCGGACCAAAGAUUUAUCGCCGAGGGAUGAGCCCGCGUAGGAUUAGGUAGUUGGUGGGGUAAUGGCCUACCAAGCCGACGAUCCUUAGCUGGUCUGAGAGGAUGAUCAGCCACACUGGGACUGAGACACGGCCCAGACUCCUACGGGAGGCAGCAGUGGGGAAUAUUGGACAAUGGGCGAAAGCCUGAUCCAGCAAUGCCGCGUGAGUGAUGAAGGCCUUAGGGUUGUAAAGCUCUUUUACCCGGGAUGAUAAUGACAGUACCGGGAGAAUAAGCUCCGGCCAACUCCGUG
rnacentral:rRNA from 1 species